GGGCAGCUCCCUGCACUGCAGGCAGAGGCAGAGGCGGUGUGCGCGGCGGCUGGCGAGAGGGGGAGGCCAAGCAGGCCAUGAGGACAUGGGGCUAACCACGAGGGAAACCAUGUGCAGGGGACGCGCCGAGAGGCUGCAGCGUGACCUGGAAGUCAUGUGGAGCUUGACAAAGGUUAUCUUAGAUGUGCGUACAUGAGCAUAGCCGGGGAUGGUGUCCUCCAGGCGGGCCGAACGCCUGUCCCAAGUGGCAGGCAGUGGGGCCGAGGCCUGUGUGAGGGGCUUGUCUUCACCUGGAGGCCAGGCCCCGACUGGCUGCCUCCUCAGCCUUCGUUUUGUUCCAUGUUUGUUAUCACGCCUCAGGCCUGGCCCUGAGGUCAAGGAGCAUGGGGUCUUCCUGAGUGAGGUCCCUUCGCUUUCUCUGCUCCCCAUAGACUUUGUUUUCUGAAGCGGACUGGUAGUUACUUGCCUACCCCCAUCCCGCAUCCUGUCUGCACAGGGGUCAGCAGGACUACAGUGAGGUCCUCUCAGGGUCGGAGAGCGGGGUCCAUCUGGUGGCCUGCUGGGCCAGCGCCACCAUGCGAGCCCUGAGCAGGAGCUGGCCGGGGACCCGGCCUGACAGCUUAGCAGGGACAGACGGACGCAGUAGAGCCGUGCAUGCCCAGAGCUCACUGGGAGCACGCUGCCUCUCCAGCAGUGCCGGGCAUCCCGGGCCGAGAGCAGGGCCUCGGUCAAGGUGUUUGCCUGCUGCGGGGGUGGAGGUGCAGCCCUGGGACAGAGGAGAAAGCCGUCACAUCCACGAAGAGGGUGCAUGGGAGCCCUGAGACAGGCCAGGCCUUGCCUGUGGCUCUCUGCUUCCCAGGUGGCCCUCCAUCCCAAUCCAGGUGUCAGCAGUGGCAAGUGUUCUCGGGCCGGGGCGUUGGGUUGGGGGGGGGGUGGUGCGGUUUGGAGAGAUCUAAGGACUGGUGAGCUUGUGUUCUGUGCCUGGUGUGGUGUGUGUGCACCUGGUUAGGUUUCCCACUCACCCAACCCGUUAUGCCCACAGAUGAUGAGCAGGGAGCUCGUCUCUUGAGGGGAGCAGCCUGGCCCUACCCAUCCCCCUCAGCAAGGGCAGGAGGGACAUCAUGGUGGGCUUCAGAGCCUGUGGAGGCUGUCGACACAAGAGAGAGCCAAGUAUUAAAUUUUGGUUUGAAAGGAGAACACCCCUCCCAGCCACCUUCGUGGUGAGGCCUCCAGAGUAUAGGGUCCCUCCUGCAACACGGCAGGCAUUGCAGCAGUUCUCACCGUGCCCGGGGGUCCGGGAGACCCUCUCAGCGUCUACGUUAGUAAUAAUCCCAAGACACUGCACUUUUCACUCCUGCCACCAUGAACACUCAGCGGGGUUACGAGGCUGCGGACGUGUGGUCGCUCAAGAACCUAGCACAGAGUCUGCCCCUCUUCUCUGAUUUGUUUUAGCAGGUGUUGUUAUUUUUCAUUGAAAAUAUGUUAAGGUAAUGGGUGUAUUUUUUCAGUUUAUUUAUUUAUUUUUGUUAGUCAUCUCUAUACCCAGCAUGGGGCUCACACUCACGGUCCCAGAUCAAGAGCUGCAUAUUCUCCCGACUGAGCCAUCCAGGCACCCCAACCAUGAUUUUUUCUUAAAAAGGAAAAUCAGCUAAGUGUCAUUGGAAAAUUAAAUGCCAUAGGUAAAAAACAAAACAAAAAAAAAAAAAAAACAACAACACCUGGAGAGUGCUGAAUACAUAUAUUUGAUUUUGCAUGAUUGACCUUUCAAAUCAGUCAGCUAAUUUGAAAUAGUAACUUUUGUAGCGUCUAGAUGAAGGCACUCCUGUGCUUUAGCCACAGACUCUUGCAGUCUGCGGAUCCCAGAAAUACGGUUGUGAAACUGGUAAGCUGACACCAGGAUUCUGGUACUCAAGUUUUGCUAUUUAAUACCUAGUUACACCCCCACGUGUUCUGUGCACAUUAUGCAAAAUCCUAUGCAAAUCACAAGUUAGAUUUGACCGUAUGUCUUGACUGUGGUCGCUUUACUGUCGCAUCUGCUAUUCCAGACCUACAUUUGCUGCCUGUCCCAGUGUGGUUUCCUUACUGGUAACUGUCGCCAGCUUUCGAGUCAAGCAGAUAGAAUGUAUGACAGUGAGGGCGACACAGGCCGCUACUCACGUGCCCAGCCAGGCGCUGCCACCCUGUGUAGCCUCCACUUCCCAAGGCUGAAUGGUUCAAGUAGAGGAGGCAGCUGGUGGGGAGCAGCGAUGCUGUCCUGUGGAUGCUCCUGAAGAGCCCUGUGCCCUCAGGAAUGUCAUCUCCUCCACUGCUUCUGGGAGUGCAGCCCACCGGGAGGUAUGCGAAGUUCUCACCCCCAGCAGGGGUGCUUAUUGGGCCUCUGGGAAAGACAGCAGAGGAGGGCCCUUCCCACCUGGGCAGGUAAGGAGACGGCAGGUGCUUAGCAUUCACUUUUCUCCUGGAAGGUCAGGCACACUUACAGCUUCCCCAGCUUCCAAGCUUCUGGGCUGGGGCAGGAUGUGCAGGGGACCCGGAGAAAUCACCGUGACCAUCUGGUCAGGUGUGUGCAUCUCUUGGAUGACUCUCACUUUGUCCAUGAGUGUGGUGGUGGGCGUGGCCAAACACCCCCCUACCCAGGACUUUCUUUCUCUCCUUCUAUGGGGUGCUCAGGGAUGGGCUGGAAUUCUGUUCCUGGGAAUGAGUGUCCCCUCCAUCCCACUGGAGCUGUGUGACGCUGGGACUGCUUUCCAGCUCAGCUCCCAUUUCCUUGCAGAGCAGACACAGUGGUAGGAGCCAGGAGAGUGCCUGGCGCCCUGCACCCAGUGUGUGCUAGCCAGCCCAUCCCCGCCUCCCACUGACCUUAUGCAGCACCCUAGGAGCUCAGAGGGGGAGGGAACCCCACCGCUGACACUACUGCACAUUUGAAUGGCUGGGGUCUGUACAUACUCAAGUCUCAAGGCAUCCCCCUGGGGUCAGUUUCCCCCAGUAGUUUACCUCUAGGGCUGGGUGACAGGUGUGUGUGUGCUGGCUUCCCCUCCUGGCCCUCCUCAGCAGGAAACUGCCCACCUGCUGCCACCGCUGCCACACCCAGCCCCACACCCACCGGAAGCACAGUAACUUGAAAAUGCACAUGUGCUUUCAGUACCCACGGCAGGGAUUCUAUGAGCUGAACUGUCUCAGACAUCUUUGCACCUGAGCUGGGGGCAGUGACAGGCCACUUUGCAGCCCUCAAGGGAAGGGAAGAGUGAGAGAGUGACCGCUGGGACACUUGUCUUGAAGUGUGUUUGCACAUUUUAUGGAGAAUGUGUAUGUAGAUGUGGGGUGGGUUUCGGUGCUGGUGGAAAUUAUGGGACCUAAUCCUGCCUCUGCCCCCAGCUGUGGUGAGACAUGCUUCUGGCCACCUAUCAAGUUCUGAUCUCCCCUGGUACCCUGAGCCAGCAACCACCUCCACUGGAAUAUGUGGGAGCAGGAGGGGAGCGUGGCCUGCGCCCUCCUCACACUGGGAGGUGCCGCAGCUGGGGGCGGGGGGGACGGGUGCUGUUGGCACAGGGCGCAUUGGAGUUCACCCACACGUGGAUGGAUGCUUCAGCUAACUGGGGACCAUAACCAGUACAACCUGGUCAUGUUCUGGGUUAGGCCUGAAAAGUAUGUGUUAUGGGAAACUAUUUCUUGGGGAUCUAAACAAUUUGAUAAUUCUCAAGUAAUGCAGGAGCUUCCUUUAUGAAACUAAAAAAAAAAAAAAAAAAAGAUUUUAUUUAUUCAUUCAU